GAAAGCAAUACCCAAAAUAUCUGUGUGACUCCAACAUGAACAAAACCAUUGAGAGGCCCAAGAACUCAGAAACCCACCAAACGGAGAAAUUCUUGACUGGAAUUUGGGUUCCCAAGAGAAGAGUUUAAAAUCCUUGUGGAUCUUCUAUCAGGAUUUCUCCAGUGAUAUGAUAGAUGUGGUUGAUAUAUUGUUUGAGGCUGUUGUAGAAGCUGCUUCAUGUCAACAUCAACAGGAGGUGAAACCCCACAUGAGCCACCAUGUAAGGCCGAGACUGAAAAUAGAGAUCUUGCAUUUCUGCAGAACAGCAAAGUGACAGGAAAGGAAAAAUGAGAACUUCUGUAAUGAAAGGUAAGCCUCUUGCUGGAGGAGGAGGCACAGUCAAUUUCUUAGGAAUAUGCUAUCUGAAGACCUAUGAUAGCUGAAAAGCCCAGCAGUAUAAGAAAG
rnacentral:lncRNA from 1 species